rnacentral:rRNA from 1 species
UACGUAGGGUGCAAGCGUUAAUCGGAAUUACUGGGCGUAAAGCGUGCGCAGGCGGCUUGCUAAGACAGGUGUGAAAGCCCCGAGCUUAACUUGGGAAUGGCGCUUGUGACUGGCAGGCUGGAGUGUGGCAGAGGGAGGUGGAAUUCCACGUGUAGCAGUGAAAUGCGUAGAGAUGUGGAGGAACACCGAUGGCGAAGGCAGCCUCCUGGGCCAACACUGACGCUCAUGCACGAAAGCGUGGGGAGCAAACAGG